UGAGUAACAUGUAGGUAUCUACCCUUUGGCCUGGAAUAACACGAGGAAACUUGUGCUAAUACCGGAUAAGUCUUUACGGAGAAAGCUUUAUGCACCAUUGGAUGAGCCUGCACUUGAUUAGUUUGUUGGUGGGGUAAUGGCCUACCAAGACUGUGAUCAAUAGCUGAUUUGAGAGGAUGAUCAGCCACAUUGGGACUGAGACACGGCCCAAACUCCUACGGGAGGCAGCAGUGGGGAAUCUUGCACAAUGGAGGAAACUCUGAUGCAGCGAUGCCGCGUGAGUGAAGAAGGCCUUUGGGUUGUAAAAGCUCUUUCGUCGGGGAAGAAAAUGACUGUACCCGAAU
rnacentral:rRNA from 1 species